AUCUUAGUAGCUCGAGUGGUUUGAGUUUUAGCCUCAGACUCUAAGGUGCUUGGGUUCGAAUCCUGACAAUGACA